rnacentral:rRNA from 1 species
GACCUUGAAAUACCACCCUUUAAUGUUUGAUGUUCUAACGUUGGCCCGUUAUCCGGGUUGCGGACAGUGUCUGGUGGGUAGUUUGACUGGGGCGGUCUCCUCCUAAAGAGUAACGGAGGAGCACGAAGGUUGGCUAAUCCUGGUCGGACAUCAGGAGGUUAGUGCAAUGGCAUAAGCCAGCUUGACUGCGAGCGUGACGGCGCGAGCAGGUGCGAAAGCAGGUCAUAGUGAUCCGGUGGUUCUGAAUGGAAGGGCCAUCGCUCAACGGAUAAAAGGUACUCCGGGGAUAACAGGCUGAUACCGCCCAAGAGUUCAUAUCGACGGCGGUGUUUGGCACCUCGAUGUCGGCUCAUCACAUCCUGGGGCUGAAGUAGGUCCCAAGGGUAUGGCUGUUCGCCAUUUAAAGUGGUACGCGAGCUGGGUUUAGAACGUCGUGAGACAGUUCGGUCCCUAUCUGCCGUGGGCGCUGGAGAACUGAGGGGGGCUGCUCCUAGUACGAGAGGACCGGAGUGGACGCAUCACUGGUGUUCGGGUUGUCAUGCCAAUGGCACUGCCCGGUAGCUAAAUGCGGAAGAGAUAAGUGCUGAAAGCAUCUAAGCACGAAACUUGCCCCGAGAUGAGUUCUCCCUGACUCCUUGAGAGUCCUGAAGGAACGUUGAAGACGACGACGUUGAUAGGCCGGGUGUGUAAGCGCAGCGAUGCGUUGAGCUAACCGGUACUAAUGAACCGUGAGGCUUAACCUU